rnacentral:rRNA from 1 species
UACGUAGGGUGCGAGCGUUAAUCGGAAUUACUGGGCGUAAAGCGUGCGCAGGCGGUUUUGUAAGCCAGAUGUGAAAUCCCCGGGCUUAACCUGGGAAUGGCAUUUGGGACUGCAAGGCUUGAGUGCGGCAGAGGAGACUGGAAUUCCUGGUGUAGCAGUGAAAUGCGUAGAUAUCAGGAGGAACACCGAUGGCGAAGGCAGGUCGUCUGGGCUGACACUGACGCUCAUGCACGAAGCGU